GCGGGCAGAGAUGUAAAUAUUUAAAAUGCGAAAUUGUGUUUUUCCUCUUCCGUGGUCCGGUAUUAGAGAAUGGCGUUGAUAACAGGAAUUCCUGGCCAUGCGGCAGUGUCAUUACCUGAGAAGAUGCUUAUCAUGUUUUGUUUACCUGAAGCAGGGUUUUACCUGACCAAGGUGUAGUCAUUAUUGAUCUUCUUCUCAGGUGACAAAGACAAGAACUGGUAUCUCAGACUUCUAACUCCAAGGAACUGAUGAUUGUUUGACGACGGUUUGGUGCUACAGUUUGCCAUUCCAGAUUCAGUAUAGUCAUACAACCCUACAAGGAACUGAAGCUAUUUAGCUAUUCAGACUCCUGAUGCGUAUGAUUAAGCACCUAUCUCUGGAGAGCUUUUAAAACCUCAACGUUCUUUGUCCAGCCACACCAUACAGAGGGAAGAAGGUCUAGCUGACCUAGGACAUCAUUUGUUACCAAGGUGAACAUUUUUCCACCCCUUGGAUAUGCCUACAUGUAGGUGAACACUGGAGACUGUGGAGUGUGUUUCGACGUAUACAACAACAAAGAGUGGAAAAGCCUGAAUCAUCACCAUGGUUUACACCUGGAAAAGGCAGUUAGGGUGGAUUGCGUUGACCACAGUAGUUUUUGUGGUACUGUGUCACCUGACCGGAGCAAGAGGGGAGUGUACUGUCAGCUCUGUAACCACCAUGUCUGGAAAUGGAAACACUGCUGAUACAGAUAGCUAUAUCACUUUUUCUCCUCUACCCACGAAAUCAUUUAAAUCCACCGGUGAAUAUGAUGAUGGAGGGCUAAGGCCUUUCUUCAACUUGGGUCGCAGCUUUAUCAACAGUUCCUUGCCGAAUGCAUUA